CGACCGGCGCACGGUGAGUAACGCGUAUGCAACCUACCUAUCAGAGGGGAAUAACCCGGCGAAAGUCGGACUAAUACCGCAUAAAACAGGGGUUCCACAUGGAAAUAUUUGUUAAAGAAUUAUCGCUGAUAGAUGGGCAUGCGUUCCAUUAGAUAGUUGGUGAGGUAACGGCUCACCAAGUCCACGAUGGAUAGGGGUUCUGAGAGGAAGGUCCCCCACACUGGUACUGAGACACGGACCAGACUCCUACGGAAGGCAGCAG
rnacentral:rRNA from 1 species